rnacentral:tmRNA from 1 species
GGGGGCGUACUGGCUUCGACGUGUUGUUGAGGGCUUUGAGAGCAUGCCGAGCUUUGGUUAAGUGCUCGUUAAACAAAUAAUCAAAAUAAGAAAUGCAGAACAUGAGAAUGUUCAAUUAAAUCAAACAUUAGCUUUUGCUUAAUUUGAUUUGAUUCUUGUCAGGAAGGCGUGUCCAUCAGUUGGACUGACUCGUAUAAUAAAAAGAUGGGACUGUCAGAUGAGAGUUUUUGGUUUUGUAGUCUGAUGAGUAUCACUAAACUGGCUUUAUUGCGUUAACUUAAGUCUUAAAAGUUGCAAUAGAGUAUAAAUAUAGACUAAGCAUGUAGUGCUUGAGGUUUGAUGCGGUGCGGACAUGGGUUCGACUCCCAUCGCCUCCACCA